AAAGAUCCAAACUGGCUGUGAGGCCUGGCAUUGCCCUGGGCCCUGACAGUGCCUCCAUUUCCUCUCCUGUAGUGAGGAUUAGAGGCAGUGAGGCAUGUCCACAUAGUGCCUGCAUCUUCUAUGGCUAGUCAUGAGAAGGAGUGGGCGAUGAUGAUGAUGAUGAUGUAAUAUAUGGGAAGGACUAGACAUGUGUGAAGGCUGGAGAGAGCCACAGGAAGGGGCUCCAGCAGGGAGUGAGAAGGCAGCAGGAACUAUGUUAGAGUCAAGGGCAGAGCUGCUCACUCUCAGCACUUGGAGGAGGUCUGGUUGCCUAGUGGGUAUGAAGGACCACUUUGGGAAGGUUGCUGAGAGAGAGGCCUGAAGACUCUGAAUGGAGAAUAGUGACUCGGGCCCCUUGGUACAUUUAAUGGAGAGGGUGAUUGGCCAUUCCCAGGCCAUAGGAAAAGGGAAGAUGGCCAGAGGACAUCCCUGUCCUCUCUGCUAGCCAGGGGCUGCAAUGGGCCCUGGAGGCCAGUGGGCAGGCUGGCAGGAGGGUUCUGAGGGGGUCUGCCCCACCAACACCUCCUGGUGGGCUGGGGUUGAGGCUUCAGCUGAAGAGGAAGCAUCUAAAACACAGUGGCCAGUCCCCAGAGCCAGGCAUGCCCCACCCUUUCUCCUUCCCUCAGUCAGUUUCACUUUUGUUUUCACUGGGUUUCUGUUGUUCUGCCGGAAGGCUGCAGAAGGCAGUCACAGGAGUCCUGGUUGAAGGCUUGGGUGGCAGGAGGAUUGUAAGUGUGGAAUAUGGGGCCACCCAUGAUGGGGCAGCACCGAGGGGUUAUGGGGGAGGGACCCAGGGAGGGAGCAGGAGGGGUGGAACAUGCCUCUUCCCUGUCUGUUCCAUCCCAGGGUUUUGAUGGCUGAGGUGGAGGAAGGGGCAGCGGUAGAGCUCCAGGGACUUCCCCCUGACAUGCCAGAGGAACUGCUCAUGCUGUACUUUGAGAACCGCCGGCGCUCCGGUGGGGGGCCUGUGUUGAGCUGGCAGAGACUUGGCUGUGGGGGUAUCCUUACCUUUCGAGAGCCUGCAGGUGAGGGAGCUGGCUAAAGGGGGCAGCCUGGGAACCCUGAUACCCUAAUGACACUGACGUCCCACCCCUGCUCACAGAUGCCAAAAGGGUCUUGGCCCAGGCAGAGCACCGACUACAUGGUGCCAGACUGAGCCUGCACCCAGCUCCACCACGCGCCCCUGCACGUCUGCUUCUCCAAGGAUUACCACCUGGCACUGUGCCACUGCGCCUGGAGCAGCAUGUCCAGGCCCUGCUGAGUGCCAUGGGGCACCCAGUGCAGUCCUGCCAUGCCCUGGCCAGUCCCAGGCCUGAUCGGGCCCUGGUCCAGCUGGCCAUGCCCCUUUCUGAGGCAGGUGAGAGGCCUGAAUGGGGCUGAGGUGCUGGUUAGGGGAGGUACACCAAGCUGACUUGCACCCUUCCCACAGAAAUUCAUGUCCUGGAGGAACAGGCCCGGAAUACGGACCUGGAUGGGGCUAUGGUGUCAGUGACCUGGGUGCCUCAGGCCCGAGCUGUGCGUGUGGUGAGGGGCACACCCCCUUUGGACAUGCUGCUGCUAGAGUUGUACCUGGAGAAUGAGCGCCGCAGUGGUGGGGGGCCCCUGGAGGGCCUGCGCAGCCUGCCGAGACAGCUGGGCACUGUUGUCUCCUUCCAGCAGUGGCAGGGUGAGUGGGCUGGGCAGACACAUGGGACCCUUCCUCUUUCACAAAAACUUGAUAGGCUUUCUGUCUUCUUUCCUCCAAGUGGCUGAACGGGUGCUGCAGCAGGACCACUGGCUGCAGGGCUCAGAGCUGAAACUUGUCCCCCACUAUGACAUCUUGGAGCCUGAGGAGCUUGCUGAGGGCACCAAAGGAAAGGAUAACCCAUCCAUGCUGGGAUCUGAGCAUGCUCUCCUGGAGACUAGAGGGCUGGCAGAAACCCUGAAGUGUGCAGGGGCUGUGACUGUGGGUUCUGGGGAGGCACCAGGGCAAUUGGAAGCCUUUCUGAGGACAGGUCUUCAGGCUGUGCCAGUUGGCUUGGAUCCCGUGGGAUGUCCAGAGCAAGAGGGGCCUAUGGGAUCUCUGGAGCAGGAAGGGCCUGUGAGCUUGGGGACUGUGGGGUCUCCAGAGCAGGCUGGGCUCAUGAGUCUGGGGCCUAUGGGGUCUGCAGGCUCAGUGGGCCCAGUGGAGGUCUCUAUGGAGUUGCUGGGACAAGUGAAGCUCAAGGGCCAGAGACCCAUGGGGCUUCUGGCACAGGAGAGCCUGAUGGAAGUUGCCAGGGGCUCACCAGGUCAGGAGGGGCUGGUGGGUCCAGAAGAGAUUGCCCUGGAAUCUGCAGAGAAGGUUGGGGUGAAGAGCCCUGGGCAUAUGGGGCUUCAGGGUCAGGAGGGCCUGGUAGAGAUGGUGUUAUCGAUGGAGCCAGGAGCUAUGCGCUUCCUACAGCUUUAUCAUGAGGACCUUCUUGCCAGCCUGGGAGAUGUCGCUCUUUUCCCACUUGAAGGAAUGGAGGUGACUGGCUUUCGGGUGAGUGACCCAUAGAAAUUCCUCACUUUUGCCUCCUUUUCCCACUGGGGCUCUGGGUACCUUUCCUGUACCCUGAAUCUGCAUACUGUUCCUCUCUCAUGGUCCUGCAGCUCUGUGGAGCCCAGGCCUCAUGCCAGGUGGCCCAGGAGUUGCUGCAGAGUCUGCUGGGUAGCAUCAGCUGCCAUGUGCUGAGCCUGAAGCACCCAGGCAGUGCCAGGUUCCUGCUGGGUGUGGAGGGGCAGCACCUUUUGCAGGGUUUGGAGGCUCAGUUCCAGUGUGUCUUUGGGACAGAGCGUCUGGCCAGUGCCAACCUGGUCAUGGACCCUGAAGAGGUAGAGAUGAAGUUCUUCCCUAUCUCUCUCCUGUCUUACUCUCCAGCUCCAGGUACCCCCUCUCCCUUGCCCAAAGGCUAGUGACCCUGAUAUCCUUUCCCCACAGGUGGAUUCCACUGAGAUCCUUCAGGUCCUCCCUGGCCACAGCCAUACCUGGUGGCCCACAGAUAGUACAGGCAGUGACCAGGAGAACAUGAGCCUGGGUAGGGCUCCCUGGUAGGGGCCCCCAGCAUGUCCUGUGGUCCUUUUUUGACCCUGCUCUCUGCCUUGCUCUGAACUCUUACCUCUCUAGUGACCCUUCCCAGGCCCAUCCUCUACCCUCAAACUCACUCCAUCUUUCAUCCAUUCCAUCUCAUCCUGUUUUUCAAUACCAUCCUGGCUGGACCUGACUCAUGACCCAGUGUUCUCUCCCUACCCUCAGAGGAAGUCCGAGAGCUGCUGGCAACCAUGGAAGGCUUCGAUAGGGAGAACUGGUUGUCCCUGGAGCUGGGAGAGGAGGGACCUGAGGACCAGCCAGAAGAGGCAGCAACUUCAGGGAAGGAGGAUGAAGAACCCACACCUGGGGCUGGGGAGAAGCCUGUGAGCCUCAGCACUGGGGCAGCUGGGCAGCUAGAGGAGGAAGCUGCACUGCAACUGGCCCUCCAUCGGUCACUGGAGCCUCAAGACAAGGUUGCUGAGCAGGAGGAAGCUGCUGCACUAAGACAAGCCCUGGCCCUCUCCCUUUUGGAGCAACCCCUGUUGGAAGCAGAAGAGUCCCUGAAUGGAGGAACUGGUAGUGGGGCCCAGCUGGUGGUGCAUGCACCCUUUGAGCAGGAUAUAGAUGAGUUGGAACAAGCAUUAACAGCUGCCUUGGAGGUACACCUGAAUAAGGAGACUGUGAGACACCCAGGCCGUGUGCUGCCCACAGAGCUGUGUGCUCGCCUGGGGCAGUGCCAUGGUGUGAAUGUUGCCCUGCGUGGUGAUUGCACUGUCUUUUGUGGCUUUGGAGCCCAACCUGCCCGUGCGGCACGCCACUUCGCUGUGCUACUUGCUGGCCCCUGGGAUCAGAGUUUGGCCUUUCCCUUGGUGGCUUCAGACACUACUUGUGAGUCUGUGCUUUGGACUAGGAGAGGGCAGGUGGCUGACUAUUGGGCUAGUGUGUAAGCAUGGCCCUGAUGUCCUUUCUUUCUACAUAUCAGUGCUAGAACAGAGGCUGAAAAGGCCACUGGGAAAGCUGGAGGGCCUGGAAGAGAGCACCAAGGAAUUCCAAAAUGUGGUGAAGGCUUUCUAUGACACCCUGGAUACUGCCCACAGCAGAAUCCGCAUCAUACGGGUGAGUCUAUACUCUGUCUCACAGGUCUCGGUGAGACUUGCCUGCAUCAGAGUCUGCUGUCCAGGACCUGCUCAGCAGACAGGCUAGAGACUGAGGUAGGGACAGGAGAGCACUGGGGCCUGAGGGAGGCUCUCUGCAAGGAACUAUGUGAGAUGCUCUGUACACCUCAGUUUCCCUGCCUGGACUAUGGAAUGGUGAUGCUCUCUUGACCACUGUGAGAGCUACUUAUUCCCAUAAAUGAGUAACUUGUCCUGUUCUAGGGGCUCUUCUGUCUCCAACUGGGGCCAGGGCUCCCUGCAGUGUGGUGACCUCUUCUUGGCUUGUUUGUUUGUUUAUUGUGAGGCUAGGGAUCAAAGUCAGGGCCUCCAGCAUACUAGACAAGUGCUCUACCACUGACCUACAUCCUCAGCCCCUUUUCUUGUCUUCUAACUUACUAAAUUUGGCAACCCUGAAAAUGGACUUGUUUUCAAAAAAGGCUGGGAAAAAUUGGUGGGGAGUUAGAGUGAAGCCCCAGGAGCCACUACCUGUCCAGGAAGGUGAAGAAGAACCAAGAAGGAGGGACUAGAGAGACCAGAGAGGUUUACAGAAGACAUAGGUUGGGGCAGGGGUGCACAAGAUGAGUAGGAACCACAAUAUCUUCCCUGCCCAAAGGAAGGACUAAGGAGGGAGUGUUGGUCAGGAUGGUCUAUCAGGGAGUUAGUGUGGGGAGGGGGCAAAGAGUAAAUGGGGGAUGAGGGCAGGAACAACUCUGGAAAUAGGCUGGGUAAGAGGGAGAAGGAUAGAGAUAGAAGUAGAUAGAAGAAGUCCAGGGUUGAAGAAGUUUCUGAUCCAGAAAACAGUGUGCUCAUAACUGAGGGAUGAAUCCAAGAGAGGGCUGGCCAUAGACAGAUGAGAAGGACAGAGGAGAGCUUGAGUCACUGUGCUGGUAAGCCUGGGCAGAGAGUUCUCCCCUCUUGAUGCUCAGUUAUGGGUACAGCCAGCAGCAGCAGCCUCCACCUAGAGCUGGUCAUAAAUGCAGAACCUCUGGUCUUCCCCAAGGUUGGGGAAGUCACCUACAACCUGACCUACUUACCCACUUCCAUCACCAUUACCACCACCACCAUCACCACCACUACCAUCAUCCCACCACCACCACCACCAUCCCACUGGUGACAGUUACCACCAUCACUGUCACCACCAACAGCAUUCCACUAGUACAAUCACCACAAUCACCACUAUCCCACCACCACCACCAUCCUACCACUAUAGUUAUAAAAAAUAGAACCAUAGUAAGUAAAGUAAAUGAAAUCCUAUUAUUAAAACUACUGCAUGAAAGAAAGUGUUCUAAGCUUAUCUUGUGAUUUUUUACUUCAUUUUUUUUCUUGGUUGUGCUUGGCUGCUAGGGUACUUUGUGCCUCCUCAAUACCCUCUUUUUGGAGGAAGGGGUACCAGGGAUUGAACUCAGGGCACUCGACUCCUGUGCCACAUCCCCAGCCCUAUUUUGAAUUUUAUUUAGAGACAGGGUCUCACUGAGUUGCUUAGAGCCUCGCUUUUGCUGAGGCUGGCUUUAAACUUGUGAUCCUCCUGCCUCAGCCUUCAGAGCCGCUGGGAUUACAGGUGUGCACCUCCGAGUCUGGCUUGAUACCCUCUUGUGUGAAUUCUGUUCUUGAGUAAGGAGUAUCUCUGAGUGGGUAGUGAACAUUUUGACUUUUAAGUUUAAAAAUAACUUUUAUAAUUAGAAGUAUUUUACAAUUCUAAUUUGAGUUGAUAUAAACUUUCUAUGUUGUUAAAUGUUCUAACUUGUCUUUAUUUCUACAUUCUUCAUUAAUAAUUUUGCUGGGAUACACUGUUCAGGUUCAAAAGAUAUUUGCCCUCAGACUUUUGAAGACUUUGCUCUUUUUUAAAUUUUAAGAUUCUUUUACCCUACAAACUUAAAAACAUAAAUAUCUCCAUGGUUUCUUAGUAUCCAGCAUUGGUGAGAUACUCAAUGUGAGAUUUCUUCCCAUUUGUACAUUAACCUUGAUAGUGGGUGUGUGGGUGGGUGGGGUGUGGGUGUAUACAUUUGAUAAGUUUUCUUCACUUCAAGGGUAAGAUUUUCCUGUCAGGUGCCAGGAAUAUGUCCUUCACAUUGUCCUUCGUGGCAUUUCAUGGGUCCUCCCAUCUGGAGAUGUUACCUUUCUGCUCGUCUUCCAUUGUGUUCCCAGGAGCCCCCACUCUUGCCUGUUGUCUUUUCCUGGAGCUCCUGAGAGGCAGAACUUAGACCUCUUCCACUUGCCUCGCUCCCCGUGUGUUGUUUCCUUCUUUUCCUUUAGCUCUGCUCUCUGCAUCAAUUACUUAUUUCCAUGUAGAUCCUCUAGCUGGAUCUUUAGCUCUAACCAUUCCAUUAUCUGGCCCACCCACAGAAGUUAGCUCAGCAUUCUUGUUCUUGGCCUCCUUCUUCAUACUAGGGGAUCCAACCCAGGGCCUCCCACAUGCUAGGCCAGUGCUGUUCUACUGAGCUGCAUCUUCAGCCCAGCAAUCUCAUUCUUAAUGUAAGAACUAUUUCUUAUUUUUAGACUUUUUUUUUUUUAGCAUCUAGUCUUGUUUUAUGAAUGUAGUAUUGUUUUGAUUGCCUCUGAAGCAACUAAUUAGAGUUUCUUUAAAAGCUGUAUUUGGGUCCUUGAGUUUGUUACUUUAGGGCUUGGUCACUUCAGGCCUUCUCUCCUGCCUGGGUCUUCUAGAACUGAGAGGGCUGUGGCAUCUGAACGUUGGGAGUACUGCUGAGGGCAGUGUAGGCACCUGGCUAGGUUUUAUGCUCCAGAGGUCUGGCUGUGCGUCCUGCGUUCAGGUGAUCCUGUGGAGUUUGUCCACCUGCAGACCUCUCUGCAGGAGUUAGACCUCCCUGGAGGUGUCAGGCCUUCCUAGAAGUCCUGGGAUGCCACUUGCUCCCUAAUGGAGGUAGUUUAUGUCUGUGGCUGGACAGAGAAUGAGGGGGCUGCAAGGUCUCCCCCUAAAUUUUCCACCAAGGGGCUCCUGAUUGCUGACCUCAGCUUUUCCUGGGCCAACCCACAGGCAUAGGAAAUAACUGCAAGAAAUAACUGCAAAUAGCCUGGCUCUGACCAUCUCUCACCUGAUAGGUGGAGCGUGUGUCGCACCCGCUGCUGCAGCAGCAGUACCAGCUGCACCUGGAGCGCCUUGAGGAACGCUGCGUGCAGCGCCCUGUGGAGCGGGUCCUGUACCAUGGCACAUCGGCCUCCGCAGUGCCGGACAUCUGCGCGUUCGGUUUUAACCGCAGCUUCUGCGGCCGCAACGGUUAGGCCUAGGCUGGGCAGGGCUGGGGCUCCAUCAACCCCCAUCACUCUGACCUCUGCCGCUUCCGCCUUGCAGGUACGCUCUACGGGCAGGGUGUGUACUUCGCCAAGCGCGCCUCCCUAUCCGUGCAGGACCGCUACUCGCCUCCCAAUGCUGACGGCCACAAGGCGGUGUUUGUGGCACGGGUGCUGACGGGAGACUAUGCGCAGGGCCGCCGCGAUCUGCGGGCACCCCCUCUGCGGCCCUCUGGCCAUGUGCUCCUGCGCUACGACAGUGCUGUGGAUUGCCUCCAUCAGCCCAGCAUCUUUGUCAUCUUCCACGACACUCAGGCGCUGCCCACUCAUCUCAUCACCUGCGAGCACAUACCCCCGGCUUCCCUUGGGCUCUCGAGUCCCUCUCUGGCCACCUGACCCAAGGGGUUAGCCUGUGGCCUGCUGCUCUACAGGUUCCCCGUUCUACAAACCCCCCUUUCCUCCCUGGGGACGUUCCUGCUUCUUGUUGGGGAGCAGGAAUCCAGGCCGACCCGGAGGGCUGGGUCGGCCCAACCACCAGGGGUCAGCAAAGCCCAGCAGGAGGGUGCGCCGGCCUGACACGCCCGUCUUGGCUGGACCUCGUCUGAGCGCUUCUGUGUCUCUGAAUAAACGUGAAACCAGGCAGAACCUCCUGGCGUUCGGAAUCAGACCUCUGGAGAGUGGGGGUCUCCGCGUAGCCAGGGGUGGGGUCGAACGCUCCUGGGGGCAGCUGUUGGGAAACCCACUGAAGCUGCAGGGCGGAGCCCUGAGCACUCGAACCCCACGCCGCCCUAGAGUCGCUCACGCUCGCCCAGGAGCGUCUCCUAGCCGACCUGCACGCCCUGCACGCACAGUGAGCACGUUGCCGGCGCAUCCGCAGGCUCGGGUUCCUCGGCCUCGGUGACCCGCCCCGGCCUCGCGCGCGCGGAUCCCGGUCACGCUGGCCUCGCUUGCCAGCUCUUGACGGUGCCCGCGCAGCUCUGUUCUCAUUCGGGGGCCAGGGCGGGGCUCCAGACUCGCCCCGCCCGCGCUGCCUCCACGGCUCUGUCGGCCCCAGCAGUCAGGCUGCGGCGGCCGAGCUGAGCCCAGCGGAGCCACUAGGCACGUAGGACCGGGCGGGGAUGGAGAGGCGCGUAGCGUGCGGGAGUUGAGGAUUUGGGGCGGGUGGGGUCUUGGCCGAAUGUCUCCCGGAACUAGGGGCUGUGUUGCAACUCAACCUGCGCUGUCGCGGAAGACACCACCUCCCAGCGCGCGGGAGUUUGCGGAACUGGACCGGCGGUGCGGGGAGCGUGGGUAGGAAACGCUGCUGCGAAGGCUUUGGCUGCCGCGGACCUCUGGGCUGGGGGCUGGCGCGGGGGGCGGGGGCACCCCGCCCCCGGCUCGGUGCCCGCAGUCUUCUCCCCGCCCUUAGCUUAAGGGCGGAGGCACAGAGCCCACAUUGUGCCCCCACCCCACCCCUCCCCUGCCGAGACAGAGCCCCAUUCACCUCUCACACGUCAGUCUUGUGGAUGGGAGCUGGGGCGUGUGCACGCGUGGUAUGCGUGCACUCCCGCUGCGCCUACAGUGAGCAGGGUGGGCUGCAGGAGCGGCGCCCCGCUACUCCAACACCCACCCCACCCCCCAAUCUUGCCGCAGUGGAGCUUCGGCGGCCCACGCCGCUGCGGCUUCAGUUAUUUAUAGGCCUUCGCUGCGGAGAUCCGAGAUCUAGGUGGGACUGUGCAGGGCUGGAGGUGGGGUGGGAUGGCGUGAUGGGGAGUCCUAAAGACAGCUUGGAGGUAGUGUGCCAGCAUCCAGUGGUAGGUCUGGAAGUCCUCCCCUGAAGCCAGGACAAGUAGGAGCCUGGGGCCAGUUUGUUGAUGGCUAAUGGGAGAUUGGGGGAGGGAAACGAGUUGGGAUGCAGCUGGUGGAGAUCACUGUCCAGUGACAGGGUGGGGAGUCUGCUGUCAGUGCCUGAGUGAAGGUAGUCACUCCCUCCCCUCAUGUUUAACAGGGUAGAAGGUGGAAUCAAUGUCCUGUGAUGGGGGUGGAGUAGAAGGUUCAGUGAUUGUGUGACUAGGAGAAGGAAGUGAACCGGGUAGUCCUGGUAGUGCACUGGAGGAGUUGAGAUCAAUGUGUGUGGGGGUCACUGUUUGGGUAUCUGAGAAGUGGGCUGGAGGGGGUGAGGCUAGAUGUGAAUGAGACGUCAAGGACUGGUAGAGAGGAAGGAGUUGGUAUGUAGGUAAGGCAGGGUCAUAGGAAGGAUGUGGUGUCUUUGUUGAUGGGUGGUUGGGGUCAACGUUUAGUUUAAGGAGGUGAUGGGUCAGUGUGCAGUAUCUGCCUCUCUUCUGCAGGCAGAAGUGUGACUGCUCCCCUGUUCUUUCUCCAGGAGGCCAUGUCUGGAGAGGAUUCUGAAGUUCGAGCAGUGUCUGAAGGGGGCUCCAAUGGAGGCAGUGGUUCACCUAGCCCUGGGGACACACUACCCUGGAACCUUGGUAAAACACAGAGGAGCAGGAGGAGCGGAGGUGGCUCUGGGGGCAACGGCAGUGUCUUGGACCCUGCAGAGCGGGCUGUCAUCCGCAUUGCAGGUAACGUAGAAGUACCUGGUCUGCCCAGCUCGUUAACACAGGCCUGUUGAUUAAGCACCUGCUGUGUGCUGCGUGCAGGUGUUUGGAUUGACUGGAUGAAAGGCCAAAGGAAAACUGUUGUUAGGGAGGGCUUCUCUUGUUCCAGGUGAGUGCAGGUAGUACAGCGCCACCUGCUGGCCCCCCAGGUAGCUGCACAAGCCUAAGGCAGGACUUCUUGCUACAUACAGCCCUACCAUCUCUGGCUUCAUAACAAGGGUCCAGAUGUGAUGGUGAUAAUUCCUUGGGGUCCUGGAGCUAAACUGCUCACCAUGCCCCCCGGUUUUGGCUGCCACCCAGGAGCGCAUGGAAGUAGAACAAGAGGAGAUACCUGGUCAGCCAGAGUCCAGCUUUGCCUACCAGUCUGAGGAGGAAGAUGAGAAAAAUCCAGCAAGAAGGCCAGGGGAGGUUGGCAGGCAGUCUAUCCCUUUGGGAAGUAAGUGACCUAGGGCUGGAGGCCAUUGGGCAGAAUAUAUCAAGCAAGGGAGUACGGACGGUAUUCCAUCCACUAGGACCCUCAGGGGCUUAUGAAGCAUAUGAAAGGCAUGGUAGGUCCAGGAGGCCAGGAAGGUAGACCAAGGUGUGAGGGAGAGGACUGGAAAGCCAGCUGCCCAGUGGGGAGGUGAUGCUGCAGGCAUCGAGGAAGUUUGCUGUUGGAAGUGAAGCAACAGCUUGUGGAAAUAGGAGCAGAGAAGAGUAAUGGACAUGCUCUUGCUACCCUGACCCCUGCCCCCGGGGUCAUGUGCUUGUGCAGGAACCUAUGAUCUUUCUCAUUUCAUGUAGGAUUUUGUGUGUGUGUGUGUGUGUGUGGUGCUGGGGGAUUGAACCCAGGGCCUUGUGCAUGUGAGCUAUAUCCGCAGCCCUCAUGUAGAAUUUUAAUUGAGGUCAUUUUUUUCCCACUUGAAAGAGAAUCAUGAAUGUCCUCCCCAUGGACCUUUAAUGAUGCAAAGGGGUGGGGGCUGCAUCUUAGCAGCCACUUAAGGUGGUCUUUGGCAUUCAUGUGCUAGCUAUGCUCUAGCCAGCACCCCUGGCAGGGUCUUUGUGUUUUCCUCUGAUUAUUUUCUCAGGAUUGAUUCCUAGAAGAGGGACUUCUGCUCACAGGGCUCACAGGAUUUAACGUUAGGAGAAACACUGCCAGGAGUGGUCCAGAAAGCCAUCUGUCAAUGUGGGGAGACAGAGGGCCUUGCCAGUCUGAUGGGUGGAAAGGAAUUGUGCUAUCAUUUAUUACCAAGCUUUCUUUUUUACUUCUGUAAAUCGUUUACUCUUGUCAUCUUAUGUACAGAUUUUUUUUUUUUUACUUGCGUUUAAAGGACUCUUUGCCUACCAGAGAUAUCAACUCUGUCUCCAAUACUGCAAUGGAAGAAUUCUAAGUAAAGGCAAAGGGGGGGAAGGGGAGCGCGCGGGCGGCCCAGUGAGGUCGCACUGGCUGGGGCCAGGGAGCUGGAGGACGCUGACCUGGGACCCAGGAGAAACAGAGCUGCGGGAGGGCCGCAUCCCGGUCUGGAGCGGGAAGGGGCGUGCGCCCGCGGGACCCGCGUGGGACCGAAACUCGGAGCCCGCUGAGCAGCGCCCAGGGGC
rnacentral:lncRNA from 1 species